AAGGUAUGAAGCCGAAGGGAAACCAAGUCUGAAGAGGGCGAAAGUAGUUAGUAAUAGUAGACCCGAAACCGGGUGACCUAUCCAUGUCCAGGUUGAAGGAACCGUAAAAGGUUUUGGAGGACCGAACACACAUCUGUUGAAAAAGGUGGUGAUGAGGUGUGGAUAGCGGAGAAAUUCCAAUCGAACUCGGAGAUAGCUGGUUCUCCUCGAAAUAGCUUUAGGGCUAGCCUCGAGAGGAGUCUAACGGAGGUAAAGCACUGAACUGACGCGGGGCCCAAAAAGGUUACCAACUCAUAUCAAACUAAGAAUGCCGUCAAGAUACCCUCGGGAGUCAGACUACGUGAGAUAAGUCUCGUGGUCAAAAGGGAAAGAGCCCAGACCGACAGCUAAGGUCCCAAAGUGUAUGUUAAGUGGGAAAGGAUGUGGGAUUUCGAAGACAACUAGGAUGUUGGCUUAGAAGCAGCCAUACAUUUAAAGAGUGCGUAACAGCUCACUAGUCGAGAAAACCUGCGCCGAAAAUAAACGGGGCUAAAACAUACCACCGAAGCUACGGAUUU
rnacentral:rRNA from 1 species